UACGGAGGGGGCUAGCGUUGUUCGGAAUUACUGGGCGUAAAGCGCGCGUAGGCGGACCUGCAAGUCGGGGGUGAAAGCCCGAGGCUCAACCUCGGAACUGCCUUCGAUACUGCGGGUCUCGAGUCCGGGAGAGGUGAGUGGAAUUCCUAGUGUAGAGGUGAAAUUCGUAGAUAUCUGGAGGAACACCGGUGGCGAAGGCGGCAUCCUGGACCAACACUGACGCUGAGUGAGCGAAAGCCAGGGGAGCAAACGGG
rnacentral:rRNA from 1 species